AACUUUGACAGGAUCUCUGCCAGACACCGCAGCUCACCAGUCACCUCCACCACAAGUGUGGACCCCGCUACAGAGACCACCACCACUCAUAAGCUUGAUCUAACAGGUUGGGGCGGGGGGGUUGAGACAAGAACGAAGCAACGUCAGCAGUAGCUGGAACAGUAUUAAUCCAGACACCACGCUCGCUACAUCUCUCCAGCCACCACGCCACCACCGACCCCUCGAGUGUACGCAGCCCAGUGUCCGUCUGUGUCUUGUCGUGGGCGUGACGUUCAGCAGCGGCAGGAACAGCAACGGGAAGCUUGAUCUACGUGGGUCUUCGUGCGGCGAGGUGACGUGCCGCUGCUGUGAGAUUAUCGGACCACACCACAGCACAGCACAGCACAGCACAGAGGAGGAGAGGCGUUGACGAUCCAAAGGCCUGACUCCACAGCGGUAAUGAGCCUCGUCUACCUUGCACUUUGACGGACAACGCUCACUACCAACACUUCU